GCUGGGCUUGGUGGCACACGCCCGUAAUCCCAGCAGCUCAGGAGGCUGAGGCAGGAGGAUCACAACUUCAAAGCCAGGCUCAGCAAAAGCAAGGUGCUAAGCAAGUCAGUGAGACCCUGUCUCUA
rnacentral:sRNA from 1 species